rnacentral:rRNA from 1 species
UACAGAGGGAGCAAGCGUUAUCCGGAAUGAUUGGGCGUAAAGCGUCUGUAGGUGGUUUAGAAAGUCUACUGUCAAAUACCAAGGCUCAACCUUGGGCAGGCAGUAGAGUACUUUUAGACUAGAGUGUGGUAGAGGUAGAGGGAAUCCCUAGCGUAACAGUGAAAUGUGUAGAUUUUUAGGGAGAACACCAGCGGCGAAGGCGACUAUCUGGUCUGUAACUGACACUGAGGCGCGAAAAGCGUGGGGGAGCAAAC